rnacentral:rRNA from 2 species
UUAAGCGACUAAGCGUACACGGUGGAUGCCCUGGCAGUCAGAGGCGAUGAAGGACGUGCUAAUCUGCGAUAAGCGUCGGUAAGGUGAUAUGAACCGUUAUAACCGGCGAUUUCCGAAUGGGGAAACCCAGUGUGUUUCGACACACUAUCAUUAACUGAAUCCAUAGGUUAAUGAGGCGAACCGGGGGAACUGAAACAUCUAAGUACCCCGAGGAAAAGAAAUCAACCGAGAUUCCCCCAGUAGCGGCGAGCGAACGGGGAGCAGCCCAGAGCCUGAAUCAGUGUGUGUGUUAGUGGAAGCGUCUGGAAAGGCGCGCGAUACAGGGUGACAGCCCCGUACACAAAAAUGCACAUGCUGUGAGCUCGAUGAGUAGGGCGGGACACGUGGUAUCCUGUCUGAAUAUGGGGGGACCAUCCUCCAAGGCUAAAUACUCCUGACUGACCGAUAGUGAACCAGUACCGUGAGGGAAAGGCGAAAAGAACCCCGGCGAGGGGAGUGAAAAAGAACCUGAAACCGUGUACGUACAAGCAGUGGGAGCACGCUUAGGCGUGUGACUGCGUACCUUUUGUAUAAUGGGUCAGCGACUUAUAUUCUGUAGCAAGGUUAACCGAAUAGGGGAGCCGAAGGGAAACCGAGUCUUAACUGGGCGUUAAGUUGCAGGGUAUAGACCCGAAACCCGGUGAUCUAGCCAUGGGCAGGUUGAAGGUUGGGUAACACUAACUGGAGGACCGAACCGACUAAUGUUGAAAAAUUAGCGGAUGACUUGUGGCUGGGGGUGAAAGGCCAAUCAAACCGGGAGAUAGCUGGUUCUCCCCGAAAGCUAUUUAGGUAGCGCCUCGUGAAUUCAUCUCCGGGGGUAGAGCACUGUUUCGGCAAGGGGGUCAUCCCGACUUACCAACCCGAUGCAAACUGCGAAUACCGGAGAAUGUUAUCACGGGAGACACACGGCGGGUGCUAACGUCCGUCGUGAAGAGGGAAACAACCCAGACCGCCAGCUAAGGUCCCAAAGUCAUGGUUAAGUGGGAAACGAUGUGGGAAGGCCCAGACAGCCAGGAUGUUGGCUUAGAAGCAGCCAUCAUUUAAAGAAAGCGUAAUAGCUCACUGGUCGAGUCGGCCUGCGCGGAAGAUGUAACGGGGCUAAACCAUGCACCGAAGCUGCGGCAGCGACGCUUAUGCGUUGUUGGGUAGGGGAGCGUUCUGUAAGCCUGCGAAGGUGUGCUGUGAGGCAUGCUGGAGGUAUCAGAAGUGCGAAUGCUGACAUAAGUAACGAUAAAGCGGGUGAAAAGCCCGCUCGCCGGAAGACCAAGGGUUCCUGUCCAACGUUAAUCGGGGCAGGGUGAGUCGACCCCUAAGGCGAGGCCGAAAGGCGUAGUCGAUGGGAAACAGGUUAAUAUUCCUGUACUUGGUGUUACUGCGAAGGGGGGACGGAGAAGGCUAUGUUGGCCGGGCGACGGUUGUCCCGGUUUAAGCGUGUAGGCUGGUUUUCCAGGCAAAUCCGGAAAAUCAAGGCUGAGGCGUGAUGACGAGGCACUACGGUGCUGAAGCAACAAAUGCCCUGCUUCCAGGAAAAGCCUCUAAGCAUCAGGUAACAUCAAAUCGUACCCCAAACCGACACAGGUGGUCAGGUAGAGAAUACCAAGGCGCUUGAGAGAACUCGGGUGAAGGAACUAGGCAAAAUGGUGCCGUAACUUCGGGAGAAGGCACGCUGAUAUGUAGGUGAAGUCCCUCGCGGAUGGAGCUGAAAUCAGUCGAAGAUACCAGCUGGCUGCAACUGUUUAUUAAAAACACAGCACUGUGCAAACACGAAAGUGGACGUAUACGGUGUGACGCCUGCCCGGUGCCGGAAGGUUAAUUGAUGGGGUUAGCGCAAGCGAAGCUCUUGAUCGAAGCCCCGGUAAACGGCGGCCGUAACUAUAACGGUCCUAAGGUAGCGAAAUUCCUUGUCGGGUAAGUUCCGACCUGCACGAAUGGCGUAAUGAUGGCCAGGCUGUCUCCACCCGAGACUCAGUGAAAUUGAACUCGCUGUGAAGAUGCAGUGUACCCGCGGCAAGACGGAAAGACCCCGUGAACCUUUACUAUAGCUUGACACUGAACAUUGAGCCUUGAUGUGUAGGAUAGGUGGGAGGCUUGGAAGUGUGGACGCCAGUCUGCAUGGAGCCGACCUUGAAAUACCACCCUUUAAUGUUUGAUGUUCUAACGUUGACCCGUAAUCCGGGUUGCGGACAGUGUCUGGUGGGUAGUUUGACUGGGGCGGUCUCCUCCUAAAGAGUAACGGAGGAGCACGAAGGUUGGCUAAUCCUGGUCGGACAUCAGGAGGUUAGUGCAAUGGCAUAAGCCAGCUUGACUGCGAGCGUGACGGCGCGAGCAGGUGCGAAAGCAGGUCAUAGUGAUCCGGUGGUUCUGAAUGGAAGGGCCAUCGCUCAACGGAUAAAAGGUACUCCGGGGAUAACAGGCUGAUACCGCCCAAGAGUUCAUAUCGACGGCGGUGUUUGGCACCUCGAUGUCGGCUCAUCACAUCCUGGGGCUGAAGUAGGUCCCAAGGGUAUGGCUGUUCGCCAUUUAAAGUGGUACGCGAGCUGGGUUUAGAACGUCGUGAGACAGUUCGGUCCCUAUCUGCCGUGGGCGCUGGAGAACUGAGGGGGGCUGCUCCUAGUACGAGAGGACCGGAGUGGACGCAUCACUGGUGUUCGGGUUGUCAUGCCAAUGGCACUGCCCGGUAGCUAAAUGCGGAAGAGAUAAGUGCUGAAAGCAUCUAAGCACGAAACUUGCCCCGAGAUGAGUUCUCCCUGACUCCUUGAGAGUCCUGAAGGAACGUUGAAGACGACGACGUUGAUAGGCCGGGUGUGUAAGCGCAGCGAUGCGUUGAGCUAACCGGUACUAAUGAACCGUGAGGCUUAACCUU